rnacentral:rRNA from 1 species
GACGAACGCUGGCGGCGUGCUUAACACAUGCAAGUCGAACGGAAAGGCCCUGCUUUUGUGGGGUGCUCGAGUGGCGAACGGGUGAGUAACACGUGAGUAACCUGCCCUUGACUUUGGGAUAACUUCAGGAAACUGGGGCUAAUACCGGAUAGGAGUUCCUGCUGCAUGGUGGGGGUUGGAAAGUUUCGGCGGUUGGGGAUGGACUCGCGGCUUAUCAGCUUGUUGGUGGGGUAGUGGCUUACCAAGGCUUUGACGGGUAGCCGGCCUGAGAGGGUGACCGGCCACAUUGGAACUGAGAUACGACCCAGACUCCUACGGGAAGCAACAGUGGAGAAUAUUGCACAAUGGGCGGAAGCCUGAUGCAGCAACGCAGCGUGCGGGAUGACGGCCUUCGGGUUGUAAACCGCUUUCGCCUGUGACGAAGCGUGAGUGACGGUAAUGGGUAAAGAAGCACCGGCUAACUACGUG